CGGAGGAAAAGAAACCAACCGGGAUUGCCUUAGUAACGGCGAGUGAAGCGGCAAAAGCUCAAAUUUGAAAUCUGGUACCUUCGGUGCCCGAGUUGUAAUUUGGAGAGGGCAACUUUGGGGCCGUUCCUUGUCUAUGUUCCUUGGAACAGGACGUCAUAGAGGGUGAGAAUCCCGUGUGGCGAGGAGUGCGGUUCUUUGUAAAGUGCCUUCGAAGAGUCGAGUUGUUUGGGAAUGCAGCUCUAAGUGGGUGGUAAAUUCCAUCUAAAGCUAAAUAUUGGCGAGAGACCGAUAGCGAACAAGUACAGUGAUGGAAAGAUGAAAAGAACUUUGAAAAGAGAGUGAAAAAGUACGUGAAAUUGUUGAAAGGGAAGGGCAUUUGAUCAGACAUGGUGUUUUGUGCCCUCUGCUCCUUGUGGGUAGGGGAAUCUCGCAUUUCACUGGGCCAGCAUCAGUUUUGGUGGCAGGAUAAAUCCAUAGGAAUGUAGCUUGCCUCGGUAAGUAUUAUAGCCUGUGGGAAUACUGCCAGCUGGGACUGAGGACUGCGACGUAAGUCAAGGAUGCUGGCAUAAUGGUUAUAUGCCGCCCGUCUU
rnacentral:rRNA from 1 species